rnacentral:lncRNA from 1 species
GUGAGCUCAACCAUAAAGCUCUAGUUUGGUUUUAUAGAGUUUCCGGGAAAACUCUUAGGUUGAGUCUACCUUUAAAGAUUUCAGAGGUUUUUAAGAGUUCCUUGAUACUCUAAGGUACUAACUUACCCGUAAAAGUUAGAGGUUCUUAAGAGUGCCCUUAAUACUCUAAGGUGUGAGUCUACCCGUAAAAGACUGGUUCCUAAGCGAAGUAGCCUUAAAGCUUAGAGAGGUUUUUAAGAGUUCCUUGAUACUCUAAGGUACUAACUUACCCGUAAAAGUUAGAGGUUCUUAAGAGUGCCAUUGAUACUCUAAGGUGUGAGUCUACCCGUAAAAGACUGGUUCCUAAGCGAAGUAGCCUUAAAGCUUAGAAAGGUUUUGCCAUUACCUUUAGGCGAGUGAAUUCCGGCAGUUGGUCGGGACUGGACUAGCCCUUGUUUGGGUGAACCAGUAUAAAUCUCUUGUGUUGUUCUCUGUUAAUUAUAGUUUUAUCUUUUGUUUAAAAACAACACUUAAUUAAAAAGAUCCCUCUUCCAGUUAUCUGGUCAAACACAGAGGUUGACUACUUUACGCAGAUCUCUCAUCCAGUUAUCUGGUCAACUAUCUGAGGUUAUAUUCAUUGCUUUAAAUCUUUAUAUUUGUUCAAGUAUUACUUAUCAUGUUUAUCCAGUUAUCUGGUCACUUACUUGUUUAUCAACUUAUCCAGUUAUCUGGUCACUUACUUGUUUAUCAAUAUAUCAAGUUAUCUGGUCAUUUACUUGCGUAUCAAUAUAUCCAGUUAUCUGGUCAUUUACUCUACAUUACAAUUUGUGUUUUCAAUAUAACUUAGUAUUCAUAUACUAUAGUUGUGUGUAAAACACUAUCAAGCAAGUUGACUCAGUAUUCAUAUACUGUAGUAAGCUUCGGAGAGUAAUACUUACAUCAUUAUAUCAAUCAAAAUCAUAAUAUCCUUAUAUCAUUACUUGUUCAACCAUUUGUUUAUUUAGCAUUUACAGGUAAUUCCGCAAUCAACCUGUAUAAAUCGAAAAGAGGCUAUUACCCCCCCUUAUAGCCUCAGAUCACGAUCCAACAAGUGGUAUCAGAGCCAAGUUUCGUUGAAGUCAGACUAACAUCUUACAACAACAACUAUGGCUUCAAAUGGUGAAAACAGUACUGGUCUUGCAUCGAACAAACCUCCCAGGUUCGAUGGAGUAAAGUAUGACUUCUGGAAGAACAAGAUGAAGUUAUACUUAAAGUCAAUCAACAAUGGAGUCUGGAAAAUCAUAUUGGAACAUUAUGAGAUUCCAACAAGCAAAGAAGAGACUUGGGGAGCAAUGGAUAUCCUCAAGGAAAACAACAACUCAAGAGCAUUGAAUGCACUAUAUGGUGCUCUCAAUGAAUCUGAGUACAGCAGAAUUCGAUGCUUGGAUACAGCUCACAAGGUAUGGAAAGCUUUGGAGGAUUUACAUGAAGGAACCUCCCACGUCAAGGAAAAUAAGCUACUAUAUGCCACUUCUCAAUUCGAAAGAUUCUCUAUGAGGGAAGAUGAGACUAUCGCAGAAAUGAACAUUCGACUAUCACAAAUAGUCCAUGAUCUGGCUGGACUAGGGGAUCCAGUAACUGAGAAAAAGCAAGUGAGCAAGAUUCUAAGAAGCCUUCCAAACAAAUACUACUCAAAGAGAAAUGCUAUCCAAGAAUCUCAUGAUCUGAACAAACUCACAGUGGUAGAACUCUGCGGAAAUCUGAUGGCCUAUGAAGAAGAAAGAUUUAUCUCUAGUGCAAAAGAGGAGAAAAAGGACAUUGCUCUCAAAAGUCAAAGCGAUAAUGAAUCAUCUGAUGAUGACUUGGCAAUGCUCACAAAUCAUUUAAAGAGAUAUCUCAUAAAAAGGAAAGAAAAGAGAAAUUCAAGGAUAGACUAUCAGAAUUCCGACAGAAAAGUGAGUAAAAACCACAAAGACUCAAAGGAGCCCAUCUGCUACUUGUGCGACAAAUCUGGAUACAUCAGACCUGAAUGUCCUCUACUAAAGAAAGAAAAAGCAGAUCAAGUACACUGGUCAGAUUCUGAGUCAGAUCAAGAAGACUGCCUCAUGGCUCAUGAGAACGACUCUGAGGUAAACUUUACAAAUACUAGAUUUAAUUCAUUAGAAGAAGCAUUUCUAGAAUUAAUGGAUAAAUAUAAAGCUGAGAAAAAAUUAAGUAAAUCAUUAAGACUAGAAUGCAUGAAUAAAUCACAUAUUGAUCAUUCAAUAGAAUUAGAAGAAUCACAAAAAGAAUGCAUGUUAUUAAAAGAAGAAAAUCAUAAACUCUCAAGUAAAAUAAAAAAGGGAGAUGAAAAAAUUAAAACACUUAAGAGUCAAAAUUUUGAAUUACUUGAUAUUCUAGAAUCUGAAGAAAAGCAACCCAAUGAAAUAAAUGAUGAUAGGGUUGAAUUGUUAGAAUUAAAAAUAGAUAAUUUUGAGGAAAUCAUUAGAAAUAAAGAAAAAGAAACAAUCAUGCUUAAAACUGAAAUAGAAUCUAAGGAUAAACUCAUACUUGAGCAUGAAGAAACUCUACAAAAAUUAUCUGAAAAACAUAACAGCAUGCAAUUACAAAUUAAAAGAAUAAAUGAGAAAAAUAGUGUUCUUCAGAAAUUCUUCAAUAGUUCAUCAAAGUUAAAUAAUAUGUUGCAAGGCUCGAACUUGGGUCAAAAGAAAUUUGGCUUAGGGUUUGAGUCAAAUGCACCUAUUAACAAAACCCUAAAUGCCACAACUUAUAAUGAUCAUUUUGUAAGGGAAUCUAGUUAUACAAAACCUUUGCAUGCUUCAAUAUAUAAUAAUUAUUCUAGGAAUACAAAAUUCAUUCAUCUUAAGAAAAAGAAAAAUCAUUUUAAGAUGAAUCAUCCAAAGCAAAGAUGGAUGUCUAAAGAUGAGUUACGAAACUAUAAGCAGAUUAAGUAUUUAAUUCAUCCGGACCCAACUCAGUAUGGGUACCAAAGGAUCUUUCAACUUUUUCAGGAAAAGCAUGUGUCAAAAUGGAUGUUCGACAGUGGAUGCACAAGACACAUGACCGGGGAAUCAAGUCUACUAACCGACUUGAUAGACUUACCUACUACUAAAAAGGUUAAGUUCGCCGAUAACAAUGAAGGUACAAUAGUAGGUAGGGGUAAUGUAGGAAAUACAGAAAAACCAUUCUUAAGAAAUGUAUACUUAGUAAAUGGUCUAAAACACAACCUGAUUAGCAUAAGUCAAUUAUGUGAUAUCGGUUGUGUAGUAAAAUUUGAAAAAUACAAUUGUUCUAUCACUAACUCUGAGGGAGUUAUCAUUGCCAGAGGAUAUAGAAAAAGCAAUGCUUAUUCUAUAAACUUUGAUAAAUCUAAACCAACUCAUGACUUCUGCAUGCUUGCUGCAAGUGAUGAGAAAGUUCUGUGGCAUAGACGACUAGGUCACACCAGCUACUCAAAGCUAUCUAGAUUAUCUAAAGAAGAAUUAGUAACCGGGUUGCCUAAAAUAGCUUAUGAAAAAGGUAAUAUCUGUGAUGCUUGUCAAAGAGGAAAACAACACAAAAGCUCACUUAAAUCCCUCACAAAAAUAACCACUUCUAGACCAUUAGAACUUCUUCACAUGGACUUAUUUGGGCCAACCCAAAUCCAAAGCCUUGGAGGAAAAAGGUUCACCUAUGUAAUCAUUGAUGAUUAUUCUCACUAUACAUGGGUGUUCUUUCUAAGAAACAAAAGUGAAACCUUUGGUGAAUUUUCUAAAUUUUGUACCCUAGUACAGAAUGAAAAAGGUUCAUCUAUCAUAAAAAUCAGAAGUGAUCAUGGAGGAGAAUUUGAAGAGUACUGUAUAUCCAAUGGGAUAAAGCAUGAAUUUGUUGUUUCUCAAGCUCCACCUCAAAAUGGAAUAGUAGAAAGAAAAAAUCGAAAGAAAAAAUCGUACUCUUCAAGAAAUGAGUAAGUCUAUGUUACAAGAACAUGACUCCCCUCAAUAUCUAUGGGCAGAAGCUAUAAGCACUGCUUGUUACACUCUCAAUAAGGUAAUCAUUAGAAAGACCUUAAACAAAACUCCCUAUGAACUUUGGAAUAACAGAAAACCCAAAGUUUCAUUCUUUAAAGUAUUUGGGAGUAAGUGCUAUGUUCUCACAACAAGGGGAAACCAAGAUAAAUCAGCACAAAAAUCUGAUGAAGGAAUCUUGGUUGGAUACUCAAAAAAGAGCAAGGCCUAUAGAGUCCUCCUCAAAGAAAGACAAACAUUGAUAGAAUCCCUACAUGUUGACUUUGAUGAGUCCAUCUCUGUUCCAAACACAGAAGAAGGAGGAAUUAAAGUCAUUGAACAAAUACCAUCUGACACUCCCAUAGAAAGAGAUGAUCAAGAAACAAUCAUCUCUGAACUUCCAUCAAAUAGGAAUCUCAGAAACUCAGACUCCGCAGAACAAAUCAUUGGAGAUCAACACACUAGCAUACAAACAAAAUCAUCUAUACAAGGCAACUAUGUCCUAGAUUGCUUUGUAUCUCAAAUAAAGCCUAAGUAGAUCUAUGUGCAUAUAAACUUAACAUGAUCUAAUGCUAUAUAAACAUACAUGCUUUUAUCAUUCACAUGCUAAGCUCUACACGCACAUAACUCAAUAGACAUAGUAAGAUAAAAAUCUAAAUGCAUAUCUAUCAUAUAUAUAUCAAUCACGUUAAUACAUGCCUACACAUUGAUUUACAUGCUUCUAUAAAAUAUAUGAUCUGAUAAAUGCUUGGUUUAUAAAAUCUCCUAUGAAAUAUUCAACUACAUAAUCAUCUGAAACAAUCAGUUAUAUACUAUGUGAUUAUGCUUUCAUUAUUCAACUCGUUGAUUCAUACAUAUCAUAUGCACUCAUCAUGCUUACAUGCAUUAAUAUGAAAUCACUUACCAAACAGUUGAUUAUCUUUGAAUGAUGCCAUCUUUUUAAUACUAGUUAGAGAACUAUAUGACAUACAAUCAUAAACAUGAAUAUUUCCUUACUAAACUAGCUAACUCAUAAUCAAUUAUGAAACUAAUCCUAUACAUGCAUGAUUCACAUAUGACAAAACAUUGACAUGUUUAGAAGUUGAAUAUAUGUUGUAUAGUAUGCAUGCAAAGUAAAAUGAAUCUACCUACAUAUGAGAUGUUUAAUACAUGCAUGAAAACUUCAAAACAACUCAUUAUAUGCCACGAUCAUGCAUACAAGAUGAACACUCAAAGAUUGGUGACUCAUGCCAUGUUGCUUAUAUUUUAAAUCUUACUUAUCACUGAUCAUCUGCAUGUUUAGAAGAGUCCUUUAAAUGCAAACUAGUCAACUAUGCAACAUCAUCUAAAUACAACAUAUUGCUAAAUCCAUUCUGCUAUAUUAUAUCUUAUCUAAAUGAUGUUGGUAAGCCACACCAUGCCUUGGAAACUCAAAACAAAUGAGAUAUGUUUUGAAACUCUCAAUGCUGAAAAAACCAGCAACCCAUCUGCAACCAUCAAUCACUUGCGACAUCCGGCAACUCUAUUACCAGAGAAUGACCUGCAAAGAAACACCUCGCAAGAAGUGCUGACAAAAGACAAAUCCUGCACACAUCAAUCUUCAUCUGCAGAAGUUGAAAACAUCGGCUACAAAAGUCUAAAGGCAUGGAGAGUGUAAGAGUUGUGUUGAACUACUAAAAAGGUAUGAUCUAAAUAGUUAAAUAAAUAGUUCUUAAACAAAUCUUAACUUAGAUCUAUUAAACAAAAUCUCUAGAGAAAUCUAAAUGAUUUGACUCUCCAAGACAUGUGUCAUGGAGUAUUGAAAAACAAACCCUAAGUUGCCAACUCUUCACGGGUAGACAUGACUUAAAGCUUGUAAAGCUUUACAAGCAAUAUCUGUUAAUUCAGACUCCGGACAGACAUGAUCAGCCAAAAAGUAGAAUAUCUCACUAUAAAAGGAUAGGAAGAACAAUCAAAUACAUAUCUUCUUCCUCUUCCUAAAACCAGUCUGUCCCAAGGAUGUUGAUUCAAGAAAUCAAUCCUGAGAAGAAGGAACUAACAAUCAUACCAGACUGUCCUUCCAGUCCGGUAUACAACCCCAAUCCUUCAAGCAGCAACCCUAUCCGGAAGAAACGCACCAGAAAGAUUCCAGUAUCAGAAAUGUUCCAAGGAACACCAACAUGAAUCUCUCCAAUAGCCAAGUUUUCCUAUAAUCUCAUUCUCGAGCAAAGAAUGAUCUUUGAGGAACCUGUUCUACUCAGAUCUCUCAACUGCAAGGUAAUUGAAGGGCUACUAAACUUCAACAGGCUUACUGACUACCUUGAGAACAUAGGGCAGCUCAGAAUCUACAAAUCCGAGUUGGCUCAGUUCUAUGCAAAUCUCAAGUAUGAGACAGUAGGUACUCAAGUGAUCACUACCAAGGUAAAUGGAAUAUGUCUCAUUCUAAGAGCUGAUAAACUUGGAAUAUGGAUAAACCUACCCAACAACGGAGUGAAGCUUCAAAACUACAGAAGCCUGGAUGAGCUACCUUUUAAGUGCAGCUGGGAGAUUCUCUGGAAUACUCUCACCCACAGGUAUAACCCUAAGAGCACUGAUAAGAUUCUGAAUACAAUGCUCAUACCAGAAGCCUCAAUCUUUUUGAAGAUCAUCUCAUACAAUAUAUAUCCUCAAGUUGAAGAUAGAGAAGAACCAUCAACGUUGAUCUUAGUAGCAAUUUACUACUUGCUGUCAAAGAUCAGAGUGAACUGGGUAUCACUGAUCAUGCACAAUCUGGCUACAUCAACCAAGAACACUGGAGCUCGCUACUACCCAAGGAUGCUCUCAAAACUCUUUAGUCCAGGGUACUUUGGAAUUCCACUCUAUCCACAUCCAAUCAUAUCUCACAUUCAACCAUUCACUGCAAGCUCCUUCCAAAAGACUUGGAGAAACACUUAUGAUCCAAACUCACAAAACACUAAUGUGUUUUUGAAUGAGGAAAUCAUAAGGGUUCGACAUCAAGUGAGGAUGCUGGAGAAAGGAAUGGGAGAUCUGGAAGAGAUGGUUUCCAUAACAAGGCAACAGCUAGAUGUUGAGAGAGAAUAUAACCUGGAGUUGGCUAACCUAUUUCAUGAGUUUAGCUCCAAGGUCAUCCCAACCAUGCACCACCAUGACUGAACUACAUCUGCCCUAAGAAGUAUUUUUGAUGUUUUGAGUACUUGUAUUUUGUGUCUGUUUUUCUGUUAUUUUGGAGAUCCAUUCAUGGAUCGUAGUCUCAUUGAAUAUGAGAUUAAUCCUGUCAUGUAUCACCUCUUCUGUUGAAAUGAAAAAUCGUUUUAUGAUUUUAAUCAUCUAAGCUUAUCAACAUAAGGGUAUGCAUGCAUAAAGAAAACAUAAUAUUAGCAAUAUUAAAAUUUGAGGGCUGCAUGGACAUUAGUUAAUACUUCAAGGUAUAAAAUUAAAAUUCUUCUGAAGUAUUAAUCGACUUUUCAAAGUCUUGAACUUUAAAACUUCAAGGGCUUAAACACAAACUAUUUUUGAAGUUUAAAAUGAUUCACUGAAAACUUAAGGAUUAAAGUUAUAUUUUUCAGUGAAUAUAAAGUUUUAUGAAACUUCAAGGACUUAAACGAAAAUCGUUUAUGAAGUUUUUAAGUUUUAAUAAAACUUAAGGGUCAAAAUGAUAACUUUACAGUGAAUAUAAAUUUAGUCAGUUUUUAAGAUUCACUAAAACUUAAGGGUCAAAAUGAUAACUUUACAGUGAAUAUAAAUUUAGUCAAAGCUUCAGGGACUUAGAAUCAAUAUUUACAUGAAGUUUUAAUCAAAAAAUUACUUAGAAAUAUUUAAUACUUCCAAGGUUUAAAAUGAAAUUUUUUAAGUAUUAAUUUAAGUAUUCAUUCUAACUUCAAAGGGAUUAAAUUAUCUAUGAAGUUUUUCAUUGAAACUUAAGGGUUCAAAGGAUAUCAUUACAGUGAAUAAAUAUUUAGUUAAAACUUCAGGGACUUAAAAGUAAUAUUUACAUGAAGUUUUCAAAUUGAAAAGUGCUUAGAAUUAGUUAAUACUUCCAAGGUUUAAAUGAAAUAUUUCAAGUAUUAAUCUAAGUAUUUAUUAUAACUUCAAAGGGCUUAAAUAAAAUUUUGUUUUAAGUGAAGUUUUACUACUAAGGCUUUAAGGACUGAAAUGAAAAUUUUAAAUCUUUUAAAACUUAGUGAAUAUUUACAUGAUUAUAUUUGUCACUAAGACAUAGAUUUUAAAAUUUUAAAUGCUCAAUUUCUCCUUAAAGCAAUUAGUGAAUAUUAUGGAUUUAUACAUAUCAUUCACUAAUAUCUUAUGGAUUAUAACAUUAUAAAAUCUUUAAUCCAUACAUGUUAAGAUCAUCUUCAUCCAUAACACACACAUGGAUUAUUAUUCAUUACAUGAUCUUAGCACAAGGCAAUUUAAAUUAUCAUAUCAUACUUGCCUUAUAAUGUAUAUCAAAAUUGGCUUCAAUCCAAUAUUGUAUCAAUGAGCAUAAAUUACAUGUUAUUUCUCCUUUAUGAUUGACUAACACCAAGACGUCACAUUUGGUCAACCACACAAAUCGAAUUUGUGAUUAAAGCUCAAUGAGGUAUGAAAUUUUAUUUUCUCCACAAAUUAGAUAUGUCCUAUCAUUAAGGGGGAGAUACUUCAUAGGUAUCUAUUUUUAACUUUGUCGAUACCUUAUUGUUUUAAGGGGGAGAAAUCAUGCAUGAUCCACUGCUUUUAAAUUGAAUAUUAUGGGUCAAUAAUUCAGGGGAAGCAUGCUCAUAAGGGUAAAAUAGAAUAUUGACUAGACAUGAGUUAAAACAUAUAUGCUAUCGACAAAGGGGGAGAAUGUAGAAUCAAAAUUGUUGACAUAGGAUUAUAUUUUAAUCAUGUCAAUUUAAACCCUAAUUACACUAUUAAUCAAUAGGGGUUAAAUAAGUCAAUCGAUAUUAAACCUAACUUCAGUUAAUUAAUUAAUCAUUUGAGUUAAGGGUUUAAGUCAAAGUUAAAAAGUCAAAUCGGGAGAAUUGCAUUUUCACCUUGAAUAUUAUUAUUUGGAAUAAUUACAUGUUUACCAUGAAUAUUAUUAUUAUUAUUAUCUUUUGACACCUUAUUCAAGAUAUAAUAUUCGAAGGGGCCAAAACACUAUUCAUGGUUGAAUUAUUCAAAGAUAAGAUUCUUCAAGGACAACACACUAUCCAAAGAGAUAAGACCAACACACUGUCCAAGAAUUCAAGAUAAGAUCAAAGAUAAAGCUUGGAUUUUUGUGAGAAAUCAAGGAGCCAUCCAUUGAAGAUCCAAGGGUGGACAUUGAGUGACCAAGGUUAUAAAUAGAAGGGUAAUCCCCUCAUUUUCACUCACCACACUACAAGCAAACUCAAGAGCUUUGACUCCACACUUGCACACACGUUUUUGCCUCCAAGCUUCCAAGCUUUCAAGUGCUCAAGUGUCCUAGCUUUCCAAAGCUUCAAAAGCUCUCCAACUUCUUCUUCUAAUCUUCUUGUUCAUAUUUACAAGUAAGAAGUGUUGUUUGCUUUAAUAUUCCACUCCUCUAAUAAACCUUUUGUGUGUGUCCACUUUGGUUGAGAGGGUUGUCUCAAUAGUACCAAAGUGUGAGAGAAGGUUUUUGAGCUCAACCAUAAAGCUCUAGUUUGGUUUUAUAGAGUUUCCGGGAAAACUCUUAGGUCGAGUCUACCUUGAAAGAUUUCAGAGGUUUUUAAGAGUUUCUUGAUACUCUAAGGUACUAACUUACCCGUAAAAGUUAGAGGUUCUUAAGAGUGCCCUUGAUACUCUAAGGUGUGAGUCUACCCGUAAAAGACUGGUUCCUAAGCGAAGUAGCCUUAAAGCUUAGAGAGGUNNNNNNNNNNNNNNNNNNNNNNNNNNNNNNNNNNNNNNNNNNNNNNNNNNNNNNNNNNNNNNNNNNNNNNNNNNNNNNNNNNNNNNNNNNNNNNNNNNNNNNNNNNNNNNNNNNNNNNNNNNNNNNNNNNNNNNNNNNNNNNNNNNNNNNNNNNNNNNNNNNNNNNNNNNNNNNNNNNNNNNNNNNNNNNNNNNNNNNNNNNNNNNNNNNNNNNNNNNNNNNNNNNNNNNNNNNNNNNNNNNNNNNNNNNNNNCUGGUCAACUAUCUGAG